AGAGUUUGAUCAUGGCUCAGAGCGAACGCUGGCGGCAGGCUUAACACAUGCAAGUCGAGCGGGCGUAGCAAUACGUCAGCGGCAGACGGGUGAGUAACGCGUGGGAACGUACCUUUUGGUUCGGAACAACACAGGGAAACUUGUGCUAAUACCGGAUAAGCCCUUACGGGGAAAGAUUUAUCGCCGAAAGAUCGGCCCGCGUCUGAUUAGCUAGUUGGUGAGGUAAUGGCUCACCAAGGCGACGAUCAGUAGCUGGUCUGAGAGGAUGAUCAGCCACAUUGGGACUGAGACACGGCCCAAACUCCUACGGGAGGCAGCAGUGGGGAAUAUUGGACAAUGGGCGCAAGCCUGAUCCAGCCAUGCCGCGUGAGUGAUGAAGGCCCUAGGGUUGUAAAGCUCUUUUGUGCGGGAAGAUAAUGACGGUACCGCNGAAUAAGCCCCGGCUAACUUUCGUGCCAGCAGCCGCGGUAAUACGAAGGGGGCUAGCUGCUCGGGAAUCACUGGGGCGUAAAGGGUGCGUAGGCGGGUCUUUAAGUCAGGGGUGAAAUCCUGGAGCUCAACUCCAGAACUGCCUUUGAUACUGAGGAUCUUGAGUUCGGGAGAGGUGAGUGGAACUGCGAGUGUAGAGGUGAAAUUCGUAGAUAUUCGCAAGAACACCAGUGGCGAAGGCGGCUCACUGGCCCGAUACUGACGCUGAGGCACGAAAGCGUGGGGAGCAAACAGGAUUAGAUACCCUAGUAGUCC
rnacentral:rRNA from 1 species